UUUAUGGAGAGUUUGAUCCUGGCUCAGGAUGAACGCUGGCGGCGUGCCUAAUACAUGCAAGUCGAGCGAACGGACGAGAAGCUUGCUUCUCUGAUGUUAGCGGCGGACGGGUGAGUAACACGUGGAUAACCUACCUAUAAGACUGGGAUAACUUCGGGAAACCGGAGCUAAUACCGGAUAAUAUUUUGAACCGCAUGGUUCAAAAGUGAAAGACGGUCUUGCUGUCACUUAUAGAUGGAUCCGCGCUGCAUUAGCUAGUUGGUAAGGUAACGGCUUACCAAGGCAACGAUGCAUAGCCGACCUGAGAGGGUGAUCGGCCACACUGGAACUGAGACACGGUCCAGACUCCUACGGGAGGCAGCAGUAGGGAAUCUUCCGCAAUGGGCGAAAGCCUGACGGAGCAACGCCGCGUGAGUGAUGAAGGUCUUCGGAUCGUAAAACUCUGUUAUUAGGGAAGAACAUAUGUGUAAGUAACUGUGCACAUCUUGACGGUACCUAAUCAGAAAGCCACGGCUAACUACGUGCCAGCAGCCGCGGUAAUACGUAGGUGGCAAGCGUUAUCCGGAAUUAUUGGGCGUAAAGCGCGCGUAGGCGGUUUUUUAAGUCUGAUGUGAAAGCCCACGGCUCAACCGUGGAGGGUCAUUGGAAACUGGAAAACUUGAGUGCAGAAGAGGAAAGUGGAAUUCCAUGUGUAGCGGUGAAAUGCGCAGAGAUAUGGAGGAACACCAGUGGCGAAGGCGACUUUCUGGUCUGUAACUGACGCUGAUGUGCGAAAGCGUGGGGAUCAAACAGGAUUAGAUACCCUGGUAGUCCACGCCGUAAACGAUGAGUGCUAAGUGUUAGGGGGUUUCCGCCCCUUAGUGCUGCAGCUAACGCAUUAAGCACUCCGCCUGGGGAGUACGACCGCAAGGUUGAAACUCAAAGGAAUUGACGGGGACCCGCACAAGCGGUGGAGCAUGUGGUUUAAUUCGAAGCAACGCGAAGAACCUUACCAAAUCUUGACAUCCUUUGACAACUCUAGAGAUAGAGCCUUCCCCUUCGGGGGACAAAGUGACAGGUGGUGCAUGGUUGUCGUCAGCUCGUGUCGUGAGAUGUUGGGUUAAGUCCCGCAACGAGCGCAACCCUUAAGCUUAGUUGCCAUCAUUAAGUUGGGCACUCUAAGUUGACUGCCGGUGACAAACCGGAGGAAGGUGGGGAUGACGUC
rnacentral:rRNA from 1 species